rnacentral:rRNA from 1 species
GUCGAGCGGAUGACAGGAGCUUGCUCCUGAAUUAGCGGCGGACGGGUGAGUAAUGCCUAGGAAUCUGCCUGGUAGUGGGGGACAACGUUUCGAAAGGAACGCUAAUACCGCAUACGUCCUACGGGAGAAAGCAGGGGACCUUCGGGCCUUGCGCUAUCAGAUGAGCCUAGGUCGGAUUAGCUAGUUGGUGAGGUAAUGGCUCACCAAGGCGACGAUCCGUAACUGGUCUGAGAGGAUGAUCAGUCACACUGGAACUGAGACACGGUCCAGACUCCUACGGGAGGCAGCAGUGGGGAAUAUUGGACAAUGGGCGAAAGCCUGAUCCAGCCAUGCCGCGUGUGUGAAGAAGGUCUUCGGAUUGUAAAGCACUUUAAGUUGGGAGGAAGGGCAUUAACCUAAUACGUUAGUGUUUUGACGUUACCGACAGAAUAAGCACCGGCUAACUCUGUGCCAGCAGCCGCGGUAAUACAGAGGGUGCAAGCGUUAAUCGGAAUUACUGGGCGUAAAGCGCGCGUANGUGGUUUGUUAAGUUGGAUGUGAAAGCCCCGGGCUCAACCUGGGAACUGCAUUCAAAACUG